AUUGAACGCUGGCGGCAUGCCUUACACAUGCAAGUCGAACGGUAACAGGUCUUCGGAUGCUGACGAGUGGCGAACGGGUGAGUAAUACAUCGGAACGUGCCUAGUAGUGGGGGAUAACUACUCGAAAGAGUGGCUAAUACCGCAUGAGAUCUACGGAUGAAAGCAGGGGAUCGCAAGACCUUGUGCUACUAGAGCGGCCGAUGGCAGAUUAGGUAGUUGGUGGGAUAAAAGCUUACCAAGCCGACGAUCUGUAGCUGGUCUGAGAGGACGAUCAGCCACACUGGGACUGAGAAACGGCCCAGACUCCUACGGGAGGCAGCAGGGGGGAAUUUUGGACAAUGGGCGCAAGCCUGAUCCAGCAAUGCCACGUGCAGGAUGAAGGCCUUCGGGUUGUAAACUGCUUUUGUACGGAACGAAAAGCCCCGGGUUAAUACCCUGGGGUCAUGACGGUACCGUAAGAAUAAGCACCGGCUAACUACGUGCCAGCAGCCGCGGUAA
rnacentral:rRNA from 1 species